AUACCUUUCUCAGCCUUUUGGCUAAGAUCAAGUGAAGUAUCUAUUCUUAUCAGUUUAAUAUCUGAUAUGUGGGCCAUCGGCUCACACGAUAUUAACUUAAUUUUUUAAUGGAGGGAGUCAUUAAGGUAGCUUGCUACUUGGGUUCUCGAGCGUCGCUCAUGCGUUGCACUAUUGUACGGGCCUGGCGCACCCCAC
rfam:Nicotiana attenuata strain TT chromosome 1, whole genome shotgun sequence.